rnacentral:rRNA from 1 species
CUUUCCCUACACGACGCUCUUCCGAUCUGCUGCCCAAGGAUGGGGCCGCGGCCGAUCAGGCUGUUGGUGAGGUAAUGGCUCACCAAACCUUUGACCGGUUCGGGCCGUGGGAGCGGUAGCCCGGAGAUGGGCACUGAGACAAGGGCCCAGGCCCUACGGGGCGCAGCAGUCGCGAAAACUUCGCAAUAAGCGAAAGCUUGACGGGGCCAUCCCGAGUGCCAUCUGCUGAGGAUGGCUUUUACCCAGUAUAGAUAGCUGGGGGAAUAAGGAGAGGGCAAGUCUGGUGUCAGCCGCCGCGGUAAUACCAGCUCUCCGAGUUGUGGGGACGUUUAUUGAGCCUGAAGCAUCCGUAGCCGGCUGGGCUAGUCCUCUGUUAAAUCCAGCGAUAAAUCGUUGGCGUGCGGGGGAUACUGCUCGGCUAGGGGGCGGGAGAGGCCGUCGGUAUUCUUGGGGUAGGGGUGAAAUCCUAUAAUCCCAGGAGGACCACCAGUGGCGAAGGCUGUCGGCUAGAACGCGCUCGACGGUGAGGGAUGAAAGCUGGGGGAGCGAACCGGAUUAGAUACCCGGGUAGUCCCAGCUGUAAACGAUGCAGGCUAGGUGUUGGGACGGCCACGAGCUGUCCCAGUGCCGCAGGGAAGCCAUUAAGCCUGCCACCUGGGGAGUACGGUCGCAAAGCUGAAUUCUCUUUGAGCAUCCGCUCGAGAGACAGUUGACUUAAAGGAAUUGGCGGGGGAGCACCACAAGGGGUGAAGCUUGCGGUUUAAUUGGAGUCAACGCCGGAAAUCUUACCGGGGGCGACAGCAGGAUGAAAGCCAGAUUAAAGGUCUUGCCAGACGAGCUGAGAGGAGGUGCAUGGCCGUCGCCAGUUCGUGCCGUGAGGUGUCCUGUUAAGUCAGGCAACGAUCGAGACCCGUAUCCCCCGUUGCUACCAGCCUUGAGCUGGGCACACUGGGGAGACCGCCGCCGACAAGGCGGAGGAAGGAGCGGGCCACGGCAGGUCAGUAUGCCCCGAAUCUCCCGGGCCACACGCGAGCUGCAAUGGCAGGUACAAUGGGUCCCGACCUCGAAAGGGGAAGGAAAUCCCGAAAGCCUGCCGUAGUUGGGAUCGAGGGUUGAAACCCACCCUCGUGAACAUGGAAUCCCUAGUAAUCGCGUGUCACUAGCGCGCGGUGAAUACGUCCCUGCUCCUUGCACACACCGCCCGUCGUUCCAUCCGAGCGACUUCUGGGUGAGGCGUGGUCUUCCUUGGCUGCGUCGAAUCCAGGUUUUGUAAGGAGGGAAAAGUCGUAACAAGGUGGCCGU